GUCUUUUCGGAAACAUCUGAUAAAAUUAGAACAAUACAAAUAAUAUUAGCAUAGCCCAUGUCCAAGGAUGACACGCUCAAAUCAAGAAAUGGUCCAAAUAUCA
rnacentral:snRNA from 1 species